rnacentral:rRNA from 1 species
AUUGAACGCUGGCGGCAGGCCUAACACAUGCACGUCGAGCGAGCGGCGGACGGGUGAGUAAUGUCUGGGAAACUGCCUGAUGGAGGGGGAUAAGUACUGGAAACGGUAGCUAAUACCGCAUCCCAUCAGAUGUGCCCAGAUGGGAUUAGCUAGUAGGUGGGGUAACGGCUCACCUAGGCGACGAUCCCUAGCUUGUCUGAGAGGAUGACCAGCAACACGGGAACUGAGACACGGUCCAGACUCCUACGUGAGGCAGCAGUGGGGAAUAUUGCACAAUGGGCGCAAGCCUGAUGCAGCCAUGCCGCGUGUGGGAAGAAGGCCUUCGGGUUGUAAAGCACUUUCAGUGGGGAGGCGUUACCCGCAGAAGAAGCACCGGCUAACUCCGUGCCAGCCGCCGCGGUAAUAC